UCACCUGAUCUACUCCUGGAUCCAAUCACC
rnacentral:piRNA from 1 species